rnacentral:rRNA from 1 species
AACGAACGCUGGCGGCAUGCCUAACACAUGCAAGUCGAACGAGACCUUCGGGUCUAGUGGCGCACGGGUGCGUAACGCGUGGGAACCUGCCCUUAGGUUCGGAAUAACUCCCCGAAAGGGGUGCUAAUACCGGAUAAUGUCUUCGGACCAAUGAUUUAUCGCCUUUGGAUGGGCCCGCGUUGGAUUAGCUAGUUGGUAGGGUAAAAGCCUACCAAGGCGCCGAUCCAUAGCUGGUCUGAGAGGAUGAUCAGCCACACUGGGACUGAGACACGGCCGAGACUCCUACGGGAGGCAGCAGUGGGGAAUAUUGGACAAUGGGCGAAAGCCUGAUCCAGCAAUGCCGCGUGAGUGAUGAAGGCCUUAGGGUUGUAAAGCGCUUUUACCCGGGAUGAUAAUGACAGUACCGGGAGAAUAAGCUCCGGCUAACUCCGUG